rnacentral:rRNA from 1 species
CGGACGGGUGAGUAACGCGUGGGUAACCUGCCUUGUACUGGGGGACAACAGUUGGAAACGACUGCUAAUACCGCAUAAGCGCACGGCAUCGCAUGAUGCAGUGUGAAAAACUCCGGUGGUAUAAGAUGGACCCGCGUUGGAUUAGCUAGUUGGUGAGGUAACGGCCCACCAAGGCGACGAUCCAUAGCCGACCUGAGAGGGUGACCGGCCACAUUGGGACUGAGACACGGCCCAA